rnacentral:rRNA from 1 species
CCUACGGGAGGCAGCAGUGGGGAAUAUUGGGCAAUGGGCGCAAGCCUGACCCAGCAAAGCCGCGUGAAGGAAGAAGGCUUUCGGGUUGUAAACUUCUUUUGUCAGGGAAGAGUAGAAGACGGUACCUGACGAAUAAGACACGGCUAACUACGUGCCAGCAGCCGCGGUAAUACGUAGGUGGCAAGCGUUGUCCGGAUUUACUGGGUGUAAAGGGCGUGUAGCCGGGUUGACAAGUCAGAUGUGAAAUCCUGCGGCUUAACCGCAGAACUGCAUUUGAAACUGUUGAUCUUGAGUACUGGAGAGGCAGACGGAAGUCCUAGUGUAGCGGUGAAAUGCGUAGAUAUUAGGAGGAACACCAGUGGCGAAGGCGGUCUGCUGGACAGCAACUGACGGUGAGGCGCGAAAGCGUGGGGAGCAAACAGGAUUAGAUACCCCAGUAGUC